UACGUAGGGUGCGAGCGUUAAUCGGAAUUACUGGGCGUAAGGCGUGCGCAGGCGGUUCGUUGUGUCCGUCGUGAAAGCCCCGGGCUUAACCUGGGAACUGCGAUGGAAACUAGCGAGCUGGAGUGUGGCAGAGGGGGGUGGAAUUCCGCGUGUAGCAGUGAAAUGCGUAGAGAUGCGGAGGAACACCGAUGGCGAAGGCAGCCCCCUGGGCUAACACUGACGCUCAGGCACGAAAGCGUGGGGAGCAAACAGG
rnacentral:rRNA from 1 species